rnacentral:rRNA from 1 species
UACGAAGGGGGCGAGCGUUGUUCGGAUUUACUGGGCGUAAAGGGCGCGCAGGCGGCCGUGUUUGUCAGGCGUGAAAGCCCCGGGCCUCAACCUGGGAAUGGCGCCUGGGACGGCAUGGCUAGAGAUCGGGAGAGGAGCGUGGAAUUCCCAGUGUAGAGGUGAAAUUCGUAGAUAUUGGGAAGAACACCGGUGGCGAAGGCGGCGCUCUGGACCGAGACUGACGCUGAGGCGCGAAAACGUGGGGAGCAACAGG